UACGUAGGUGGCAAGCGUUGUCCGGAUUUACUGGGUGUAAAGGGCGUGUAGCCGGGAAGGCAAGUCAGAUGUGAAAUCCGGAGGCUCAACCUCCGAAUUGCAUUUGAAACUGUUUUUCUUGAGUACUGGAGAGGCAGACGGAAUUCCUUGUGUAGCGGUGAAAUGCGUAGAUAUAAGGAGGAACACCAGUGGCGAAGGCGGUCUGCUGGACAGCAACUGACGGUGAGGCGUGAAAGCGUGGGGAGCAAACAGG
rnacentral:rRNA from 1 species